GCCCUUCAGUUGCAUUCGGCUUCCUCCUCUUCUCCAGUUGGCUGCAUACCUUGGCUGAAAGCCACGGUUCCGAUUGGGUGGCCCUCUCCAACAGAGACAACUAGUCUCUCUGGGUUCUGAUAACCAUUCUCCAUGUGCCCUUUCGAUCCUAGGGUGGUAAUGUCCCUCUCUGAUUCUAGCUCCACCACAGAUCUCCUUAACCAUCCCUUGCAAGUUUCCCUUAACCUGGCUCAGAACUUUGCAGUCACUUGAUUAAAUCCUCCUUAAUGACCCUGUCUGAGUGAGCCAUCUGUUUCCUGCUGGGAUCCUGACCGGUACAGGAAGAAAAAUGUUUCUCAGAAGCUGUCCAACACUCCCAUCCCACUUCCUGCCUGUCCCAACCCGAAAGGGAGAAAGAGAGAAAGAAAGAGGGGUAGGGGAAGGAGGGGAGGAAGGAAGGAAGGAAGGAAGGAAGAAGGAAGGAAGAAGGAAGGAAGGAAGGAAGGAGGAAGGAAGGAAGGGAGGGAGGAAGGAAGGGAGGGAGGGAGAAAGGAAGAAGGAAGGAAGGAAGGAAGGAAGGAAGGAAGGAAGGAAGGAAGGAAGGAAGAAGGAAGGAGGAAGGAAGGAAGGGAGGGAGGAAGGAAGGAAGGAAGGAGGAAGGAAGGAAGGAGGAAGGAAGAUUUCCUUCAGAUCUCUCUCUAGGAUAGAAUCAUGCAAUGGAGCCUGGGAAACAAGUAUCUGACAUUUCCAAAUAACCACCAUUGGGUAGUUAGUGGUGGGCAACCAAUAAUGUCUUCCUUAGAGGUACCCCAACGCUUUACCAAGAGAAGGAACGAUGUCGAUGGGCAGAGCAGGAGAGAAAAGUCAGAUGGGUGGCCCACUCCUGGUUUUCUGAAAACCCACAGGAAUUCUCAUGGCUCAUGGUUUGCCAGCAGUUACCAUGGUUACGGGGGUGGUGGGCAACAAGAAUCCAUUCCAGAGUGGGGCAAGGAGGACGGAGGGAUGCCAGCCACCUGCCAGCAGACUCAUGGAAACUCUCUCACGAUGGCGAGAGGGGUCUUUGGCCAGGACAACGACAGACUUUUAGAUCCUCCUAAGCCAGCCUUGCUUUUCACACUGAAACCCAAAAGAGAACGUCACAUGUCCUUUCCGACUGGCCAGGAUGCAAAGUCACCCUGUUUUCUGCCUUAGGGCUGGAAAGAGCACAAAUUAAAAUUCUCCGGCUGCCCCAGAGCCCAAAAGCCAAAGAUUCUCAAGAACCGACAUGGUCAUGGGGCGCUUGGGGGCUUGGUCGGUUAAGCUUCUGACUUCCGCUCAGGUCAUGAUCUCAUGGUUCGUGAGUUCCAGCCCUACAUCGGGCUCUCCGUUGAUAGCACACAGCCUGCUUUGGAUCCUCUGUCCUCCUUUCUCUCGGCCCCUGCCCCACUUGUGCUAUCUCUCUGUCUCUCUCCAAAUAAAUUUAAAAAAAAGAAGGAACCGACA
rnacentral:lncRNA from 1 species